AGCCUGAAAUUCGCGGCGCGCCGUCUGUAGGGCAUGCAACUGCAGAACCAUGUCGCCGCCAUCCAGGACGGUCAUGGACUACCGAAGUUUCCAACAUCGAGCGACACCUUCCAGACACCUGGAAAUAUGCAUGCUCGCUUCACACCUUACGUGGAGCUCCUCUAUCCUUAAUACGGUCUGAUGCUUGGUACUUGAUACUGAUUCCUAUCUGUGCGAGUGCGGUGUUGGUUGGCCCGCGGCGCGUGCAUCGUGGCAUGGCGCUAUUACCUCACCUUAAGCCCCGAGAGUGUUGAGACGAUGUAAUGGCGCCGAGCGUCGUGUACUGAGUGCGGCUGGGGCGAUUGCUGUAAAUGCAUAUUAAAGAUUGCAGCCAUGCGGUGCAAGUAUAUUUCAAAAAUACAAUAAAUGUCUGCUGUAGUUC